rnacentral:rRNA from 1 species
CUCCCUUGAGGUGAGGAAUACCGGCGAGAAAUCGCCGACAAGACCGCAUACGAUUGGCAACAAUCAAAGUUUUGCUUCGCGAGAAGUGAGACGCCACAAGAUGAGCUCGCGCCCGAUUAGCUGGUUGGUGGGUAAUGGCCUACCAAGGCGACCAUCGGUAGCUGGUCUGAGAGGAUGAUCAGCCACACUGGGAUUGAGAACGGCCCAG